UAUUUAUAGCAGAAUUUUGAUGUUUAUUGAUAUGAUUUUUACAUAUAGCCUAGUAAUUUUGAAUUUGUGCUUAAAUAAAAAUUUUAAAAUAAAUAAAUCCAUUAUAUUAUAAUUGUUAUUCUAUAGUUUCACCUGAUUUUCAGCUAACAUUUUUAAUUUAAUUCUAGUUAUUAUCUUCAUUUCUACUAUUUUUACAAUUAAAUAGUUUUUACAUUUUUUGAAAUUAAAUAUUAUUUCAUCUCAAUAAUUGAAGCACUGUUUAAUAAUUUGUUGAAAAGAAAAUGUAAAAACCAUUCUUGUAACCUUAUAAAAUUACUAUCUUGUUAAAAUUUAAGAAUCAAAUCUUUUAUGAAAUCAGAUUGAAUGAGGCUCGACCAAUUGUGAUGUGUGUAUAGUUGUGCUUUUAACCCGAUAUGAUUUUUAAAUGUUUUAACCUUUUAACUGUCCAUUCCCUGGACAAAAAUACAUGAAAAUUUGAUCUCUAUACACCUUUUUUAUGUGAGGAGAAAACAUCAAUGCAAGGAAGGGUCUCUGAAAACUCUAAAGCUAAAUUUAAAAGGUUAAAAGUUUUUUUUAAAUUUUGUUUAAGUUAAGUAAUGGCAUGUGUUUUGUUGGAAUGCCACUAACUAAAUAAAUAGUUUAUUUUGCCAAAUAAACUAGAAAUUCCUAUUUCUACAAACUUUUAUAAGUAAAUGUUUUAUAAGCAUCUAAUUAUUUUAAUUGAUAGCUAAUUCACUUGGCGUUUCUUUUGGCAUAUUUAAUUUGCUAUAGUUAUUUAUUUUUAUAUGGCAUUCCAUAUAUAAAAUUCGAACUAUGGUACUCAAAAUCUAUGAUUUCUUAACUAAUUCUUAAUGUGAAGUUUAAAUGGAUAAAUAAGGCAAUUGAAGUAAACCUUUGUUAAGGAAACUAAUUAAUAGUUUAACCACUCUAUCAUUGCACAACUUUACUCACUGUACUUUGUGAUUCUGAGGGUGAAAAAAAAAGAUUUAUAAAAUGUUAAACAGUUAUGUUUCAAUGUCGAUUUUUUAUGAAUCCAUAUUCUGUUAUUUAUGAUGGAUACAACAUUGUUAUAUAUUAGCACUGUUAUAUUUGGAAAAAUCUUUGUACUUAUUUUAUACUAACUGUAUAUUUCUGUACAUAAGCUUAGAGAGCAUUUUUUUCCCGAAAAAAAUGUACCAGAUAUUCAAAGCUGUAAGACAAAAAAAGAAAGAAGAUUCCUAUAAUGUUUUAAAUUGAAUAUCACAGUUACAAAAUUCCUUAUAUUUCGUAACGCGAAUGACAAAAAGUUGGUUAUUUUUUUUAUUAUUAACACUUUAUAGAAAAGUAAUCGAAGUAUUUUUGACUUACUCAGUCUUUAUUUAUUUUUUUUACAUGAAAACUAGGAAACAUAAUUAUUACUGCCAGUAGUGACCAUGAAAUACGUAGCAGUCAGUGUUGACAAAAAGGAUUUUAUUAAUUUAAAUUUUUUAAUUGAAUCAGAUUUUUUUAUGUUAUGCAAAGCGCUGAUAAAAUAUAUUAAUACUUAAUAUUACUUAUAUUAUAAAGUACUUAAAAUUUCUAACUCAAUGGUUAAUCUCUGUCAAAAUAAAAUCAUAGUUUUUAUUCAAGCUUAAUACUUUCAUGAAUUUGUAAGGACAAAAAUCUAAUUUGUCUGUUGGAUAUUAAAUGAAGAUCAGAAACAAUUACAGAAGUCAACUAUUCCAAAUUACUCUUGCAGAGACAUCGUUUUUUUAUUUUCAUUAUUUAUCUGCACUAACUGCCUUUUAAUAAGUUUUUUUAAAGCAUUUGUAUUUAAAUAAACAUAAAACUAAACUGGUAUAAUUUAAUCAGCGUUUAAUUUUAAAUAUAUAUUUUUUUUUUAGUCUAUUUUGUAGUAUUAAAUAAUUUAUAGGCUAUACAAUCUUAUUUCAUUUAAAAAUUAUUGUAAUAAAAAUGUAAUUGACUAAUAUGAUAUUUUUUAUAAAAAAAAUAGUUUAUUUCAAUGAUGAUUGUUUGAAAAGAGACAAGUAAUUUUAAUCAAGCUAACCCUGGUAGCAAUCAGGAAAAUAAAAUUUAUGUUAUUUUUCUAUUGUUUCCGGCGUACGUUAUAUGAUGCUCUUUGGCUAAUGUAGAUUUGUAUAUAAAUCUGACUUUUCUGUAUGAAAAAUUUUAAAAAUUUCCUGGCUUAUUCACAGAAAUGUACAGUUAUUCAAAGAAAAAAAAAAUGAUGCUGACUCUUUUAUUUGUGCUUACCAAAGUAUUUUCUUCCUUCUUUGUGCUGAAGAAUGAUGACCAACUUGAAGUAUGAGCUUGAAAGACUGUAUUUUGUGGAAAUAAGAUCUAAACCUACCAGUAUUCUCUUGCCAAUUCAAAUAUAGCUUAAGAUGUAAAGAAUUUUUUUAAGGCAGCUAUUGUUGUUUCGAAAAUUCAAUCAGCUUUUAAAUAUGGAGCCGGAAAUCUCGUUCUCGCUUGUACAUAAAAAAUAAAUAUUGUGUGUGUGUGCGUGUUAAUGUGUGUGAUGCCCACUGUUGAAUAUUGUCUCAUUAUGAAGAAAAAAAAAGUUGUAUUGUUUUCACUCAAACUUAAGAUUUUAUGGAGAAAAAAAUUUUGACAUUGUUCAUCAAUAAAUUAUUGAUGGUUUUA
rnacentral:lncRNA from 1 species